UACAGAGGGGGCAAGCGUUAUUCGGAAUUAUUGGGCGUAAAGGGCGCGUAGGCGGUGGUGCAAGUGGAAGGUGAAACUCCCUCGGCUCAACCGAGGAACUGCCUUUCAAACUGCACGACUUUGAGUCCGGGAGAGGUGAGUGGAAUUCCCAGUGUAGCGGUGAAAUGCGUAGAUAUUGGGAGGAACACCAGUGGCGAAGGCGGCUCACUGGACCGGAACUGACGCUGAGGCGCGAAAGCGUGGGGAGCAAACGGG
rnacentral:rRNA from 1 species